rnacentral:sRNA from 1 species
UUUUACUGCCCAUGGCGGGCGUUUCCUCCCUUGCACUCGGCCCCGCUCCCCAAUGAGCGGGGCCUUUUUGUCGAGGGA